AAUUAAUACAAGGAAACGAAAGUUAAGGGAUCGAAGACGAAUUAGAUACCGUCGUAGUCUUAACUAAUAAACUAUGCGACCAGGGAUAUGAGUUGUUACAAUUAUGCGCAAGUAUAAUUAAUUUCUUCUUAUGGACCUUGUGAGAAAUCAUAAGUUUUGGGUUCUGGGGGGGAGUAUGGGUCGCAAGGCUGAAACUUAAAGGAAUUGACGGAGGGGCACCACAGGAGUGGAGCGUGCGGCUUAAUUUGACCCCAAACACGGGAAAACUUACCAGGUCCAGACAUUAGAAGGAUUGACAGAUUGAUAGCUCUUUCAUGAUUUGAUGGGUGGUGGUGCAUGGCCGUUCUUAGUUGGUGGAGUGAUUUGUCUGGUUAAUUCCGAUAACGAACGAGACCUUUUACCAUACUAACUAGUUAUAUGUAUACUUUUGUAUAUAUAGAUGAACUUCUUAGAGGGACUAUUGGUUUACAAACCAAAGGAAGUAAAGGC
rnacentral:rRNA from 1 species